rnacentral:rRNA from 1 species
UGCUAUCACUCUUGGAUGGACCUGCGGUGCAUUAGCUAGUUGGUAGGGUAACGGCCUACCAAGGCGAUGAUGCAUAGCCCGACGUUGAGAGACUGAUCGGCCACAUUGGGGACUGAGACACGGCCCAAACUCCUACGGGAGGCAGCAGUAGGGAAUCUUCCACAAUGGACGCAAGUCUGAUGGAGCAAACGCCGCGUGAGUGAAGAAGGGCGUUUCGGCUCGUAAAAAGCUCUGUUGUUGGUGAAGAAGGACAGGGGUAGUAACUGACCCUUUGUUUGACGGUAAUCAAUUAGAAAGUCACGGGCUAACUACGUGCCAGCAGCCGCGGUAAAAU